GGAUGCAUAAUAAUAUUUAUGAAUCUGGAAAAUCCAAAACGACUUAUAAUUUAGGACGAAUGGAGUACUUAAGAAAGAACUAAAAGGGAAAUGUUUACAUUGAUGGAUCAACCCAGUUGAUCGAUUACAAAAUUUACAAAGAAGAUGCAGUGCAACCUAUUGGUGUCUAAGUACCAAAAAAACGGGAAUGUCCCGUCAGCUAGAUGGCACAGGAGUAGUGAAAAAAUGGCACGGAGCCGGGAGUUGCCGAUCCGCCACGAAAAGGAUCAGCACGCUCUCAGUCUCAGCUGCUGGAGUCGGGCCGGCGGAGGUAGAAGAAGAGAGCCGUGCACGCCGCGGCUGCGUAAGGGAACGCCGUGCAGAUGCCCUGGUUGCAUUGCAGAGCAAGCAUGGCCUGAUCAGGAAACAGGGGAGAGAGAGAAGUUCUGGAAAGGGCGGGGAAGACAGAGAGGUAGGUACCACGGCAGCUGCGACGCUUGCCAGAGCGAUGACAGGCCUUUCACGGAGGACAAACCCAAGUGCUAACUGCAUGAAAGCGCCAGUUGUUUUGUCACAGAACAAAAGUCAACAGGUUCUUGUUAAUGUUAGUACUCCCUCCGUUCGGAAUCGUACGUCGUUUUGGCAUUCCUAGGUCUAUAGUUUUUGCUGUGCACCUAGAUAUACACUAUGUCUAGAUAUAUACUAAUCUAGAUUUGGUAAAAUGACCUACAAUUUGGGAGUGAGGGAGUACUAGCUAAGCCCGACUUAUAAGCUGCAAAGGAAGAACAAAAACAAGGUUGCCAUGAUCUGAAGGUCGGUUUACCUGAAUAGGAAGAGUAAGCAGGCACCCGAAACAAACUCCGGCGAAGUAACAGUCUGCUGGUAUACCCUGUUUAUAAUGGCCAAAGAAUGUCAUUGGCAAAUCAUUUGUGUGCAAUAUGUGCUCUAAUAUCUGUUAAGUCAUAGAGUUUUUUUUUAAAAAAAGUUGACUGACCAAUGCGCCAGCUAGAAAUGCUGUGAUAUUCCGUACGCCAAUUGAAAAUCUCUCAACUGCAGCAAACAUCAUAGUCAUCAUCAGUUUAAGUGACAAGCAAAUUUAACCAUCUAGUUUGUCUUUAGAACUUCAGUGUAUUGAGUGCAUAUGCAAUGCCAAUGCUCUACAGAGUUUCCCAUUUUCUUUCACUCAGGACUACAAAUGCUUUGCAAAACUGAUGUGAAGGUUCAGAUGUAUACCAAAGCCAAUUAGGUUCCCGUACUUUUGGACUGCUCGUGAUAUGCUUAGUGCUUUGUCCUUGCCAAUUCCAAUCUAAAAGGACAACUGCGAUUAGAUAUCAGUAAGGUAGCAAUACUUCAUGUCAUAGUUUUGCCACAAAAAAAAUGAUAUUUAUAAUAUAAAACUGAGGAACUAACAAGUGUAUUAUAAAGUGAGACAAAUCCCUGCUUCGCACCUUGCUGCUUAUGCCUUCAGAUGCUUUAGUUUGUCUAAAAAGCUUCCCCAGAAAGAACGGGAUCAUAUCGCUGAGACAAACACCCCUACGUGAAUGAAAAAGUUAAAAAAUUUAACGGGUAGCAUUCACUACUCACUAACAAGAGGAACAACUGUCUACAGAUCAUGGACAGAGGAUGCACGAGCACGAACCAGUAAAUCCAUAGCACUGUAGAAACUAUAUAAGGUGCAUUCGCCGAGAACGAGUUAACGAGAGAUUGCCAGGUUCCAUCCAAUGAAAGUGUACGUGAUAAAGAAAUUCCAGCCUACAUCAUGAAGGGAAAAAUGCUUCUCAACACAAAUAAAUGGUUGAUGAAUGCUUAUAUAUAAAAUUGUGUUUGAAGUCUGACUACUUGUGGAAAAUAAAGCUAGAAACUUAGUUGAGUUGAGAGUGGUCAUAUUGAAGGUACCAGUGCAAAGGACAGACCCAAACAUUUAAAGCUUCUUCACUGAUAAGUAGUCCAAAUCCAGCAGCCAUGAGCAAACAAAAGUAGACCCACCUGAAGAAUUUCAGCAGGACAGUAUAUUAGAAAAAUGGAGCAAAAAAGUUACAGGUAGGCUUCCAUUACAGGUACCAAAUAGAUCACAUAUUUGCAUUUAUUUUUUGAAAUCAGCCUAUGUGGUCCGUGAACUUUCAACAAUCCUCAGUUAGCAUGAUACCAUGGAUUGACUUGAGAAUUUAUUUUUUUCAGAGAAACAUUCCCCUAGAGGCUGUGCACGUUGUUUAGCAUUUGGUAGCAAAUGCAAUUGACAUAUUAUUGGCUGAUAUAAUUUGAUGACCUGUGGUUAAAAGCUCUCCAAGGAGGAACAUUUAUUGACUUAAUUUGGCAGUCCCAUCAGUGACGUGUAUCUAAAAGUUGUCAGGAAAAAAAUAGAAGCAUGAAAAGCAGAAUGAUAACAUGCAGAUAGCCAAAUUCACAUACCCUGGUGUGUACUCUGGAAUUAUGACUUUCUUUCCAAAUGCAGAAAAUGAAUAUCCAAGGGUUGCUGCUGCUGCAUCAGACUGCGUGGAGGCAUCAACUAUUUGUGGCAGACUAAAAGAUGGACCUGAUGAAGGCUGCUUCCUGACUAGUGAAAUUACAGUGACCGUGGCCGCAAUACCGAUAGCAAUUGCCACUUUUGCAAGGAAUGAAGCACCCGGGGUGGUAGAUUCUACUGCUUCCACUGCACCAAUAAUCGCAUUUACAUCUUCCCCACCUGAAGAAGUUUCUGCCCCGGACACUGAUGCCUUUGCAGUCCCGGAGACCAAGCAGGACAAGUUGCGCGAACUGUAUAUGCUUGCAAGAAACACAGAAUAUUUAAUGUAACAAUCGCAUUGCAGCUAACAGUUUCACCUAAAGCCAGCCCUAAAUCCAUCGAGGCGGUUACUCAAAUAUCAUAAUUUGUUCAAAUUUGCAAGAAAUUUCAUGAAUCUACAGAACAGCUAGAGUUCAGACUCUGAUCCGGCUAAAAGAAGCUCCAGAAAAAAAAAAGAAAAAAAAACUAACCUCCUAAUGCGACCGCGUGCAGCGGCGGCGGACCGCCGGGCUCCGGCAGGGGAUGCCGCGCGGUGGCGGCGGUAUAGGCGAGGAGGCGGCGGCGGAGGGGAGCCGGAGUGCGUGGCGACCGACGCCAUGGGAGGAAGGAGGAGGAGGUGGUGUGCGUAUCGGCGCCAGUGU
rnacentral:lncRNA from 1 species